UACGGAGGGUCCAAGCGUUAUCCGGAAUCAUUGGGUUUAAAGGGUCCGUAGGCGGCCGAGUAAGUCAGUGGUGAAAGCCCAUCGCUCAACGGUGGAACGGCCAUUGAUACUGCUCGGCUUGAAUUACUGGGAAGUAACUAGAAUAUGUAGUGUAGCGGUGAAAUGCUUAGAUAUUACAUGGAAUACCAAUUGCGAAGGCAGGUUACUACCAGUUUAUUGACGCUGAUGGACGAAAGCGUGGGGAGCGAACAGG
rnacentral:rRNA from 1 species